rnacentral:rRNA from 1 species
GUGAGGAAUAUUGGACAAUGGGCGCAAGCCUGAUCCAGCCAUGCCGCGUGCAGGAAGACGCAUCUAUGGUGUGUAAACUGCUUUUGUACGGGAAGAAACACUCCCUCGUGAGGGAGCUUGACGGUACCGUAAGAAUAAGGAUCGGCUAACUCCGUGCCAACAGCCGCGGUAAUACGGAGGAUCCAAGCGUUAUCCGGAAUCAUUGGGUUUAAAGGGUCCGUAGGCGGUUUAAUAAGUCAGUGGUGAAAGCCCAUCGCUCAACGAUGGAACGGCCAUUGAUACUGUUAGACUUGAAUUACAAGGAAGUAACUAGAAUAUGUAGUGUAGCGGUGAAAUGCUUAGAUAUUACAUGGAAUACCAAUUGCGAAGGCAGGUUACUACUUGUGGAUUGACGCUGAUGGACGAAAGCGUGGGGAGCGAACAGGAUUAGAUACCCUGGUAGUCC